rnacentral:rRNA from 1 species
CGUUAACGAACGAGACCUUAACCUGCUAAAUAGCUAGGCUUAAUUUAUUAAGUCGUCAGCUUCUUAGAGGGACUAUCGGUGUUUAACCGAUGGAAGUUCGAGGCAAUAACAGGUCUGUGAUGCCCUUAGAUGUUCUGGGCCGCACGCGCGCUACACUGACGGAGGCAGCGAGUGUCCUGUGCCGGAAGGCGUGGGGAAUCUUGUGAAACUCCGUCGUGCUGGGGAUAGACCAUUGCAACUAUUGGUCUUCAACGAGGAAUUCCUAGUAAGCGCAAGUCAUCAGCUUGCGUUGAUUACGUCCCUGCCCUUUGUACACACCGCCCGUCGCUACUACCGAUUGAAUGGCU